rnacentral:miRNA from 1 species
UAGCAGCAGCAGCAGCAGCAACAGCAGCAACAGCAGCAACAGCAGCAACAGCAGCAAUAGCAGCAGCAGCAGCAGCAACAGCAGCAACAGCAGCAACAGCAGCAAUAGCAGCAG